CUUUUCAAUGGCCAUCAUUAGAUACUUUGAUAAUAGGAAGAUGUCCAAGAAUGACAGUUUUCACCAAGGGACAGUCUACUACUCCAAAGCUAGAGGUAAUAGGAACAAGUUUUGGAUGGUGUGAGGCAAAGGAUGACAUCAACUCCUUUAUAAGGAAAAAAACACAAGAGGGAUACAAAUUCUAGAGAAAGAUUGAUCGAGGCUUCAUGGAGUUUAAGGUAAUCAAGGGGGCGGCUAAGUCUUGUGACGGGGAGUAGACCAGGAUCUCGAUUUCAAAGGUUUCGAGAGGUUUAGUCCUACGUUAUUUAUUUAUUGGAUUUAUUUAUUUGGCUAUUAGACUAGCAUUUCUUUUAAGGUUGUAUUUGGAUUUUCCUUGA